rnacentral:rRNA from 1 species
AAGACCACGUGGGCGGAGAGGGGGGAAAGCGUAGGGGGCAGGCGUGGUCCGGUGGUAUGGGGCGGAAAGGGGUGGGAGGCGGCUCAGUAAGGCAGGGGUGAAACCUCCAGGCUCAACCUGGAGACGCAACCGGAUACUGCUGUGGCUAGAGUCCGGUAGGGGAGCGUGGAAUUCCUGGUGUAGCGGUGAAAUGCGCAGAUAUCAGGAGGAACACCAGCGGCGAAGGCGGCGCUCUGGGCCGGAACUGACGCUGAGGAGCGAAAGCGUGGGUAGCAAACAGGAUUAGAUACCCUGGUAGUC